GACGAACGCUGGCGGCGUGCCUAACACAUGCAAGUCGAACGGAGAUAUGCGAACGAGGCCUUCGGGCGGAGAUUGCAUAUUUUAGUGGCGGACGGGCGAGUAACGCGUGAGCAACCUGCCCUUCAGAGGGGGAUAACGGCUGGAAACGGCCGCUAAUACCGCAUGACAUAUACACAAGGCAUCUUGAGUAUAUCAAAGGAGGAAUCCGCUGAAGGAUGGGGCUCGCGUCCGAUUAGCUGGUUGGUGAGGUAACGGCUCACCAAGGCGACGAUCGGUAGCCGAACUGAGAGGUUGAUCGGCCGCAUUGGGACUGAGACACGGCCCAGACUCCUACGGGAGGCAGCAGUGGGGGAUAUUGCACAAAUGGAGGAAACUCUGAUGCAGCGACGCCGCGUGGGGGAAGAAGGUCUUCGGAUUGUAAACCUCAGUAGUCAGGGAAGAAGCAAGUGACGGUACCUGAAGAGUAAAGCUCCGGCUAACUACGUGCC
rnacentral:rRNA from 1 species